rnacentral:lncRNA from 1 species
CUACGAACGAUCUACUCCGAACUUCUACUACGAGGGGUCUACUCCAAACUCCUACAGUGAGCGGUCUACUCCGAACUCCUACAGUGAGCGAUCUACUCCGAACUCUUACGGUGGGCAGUUUACUCUAGAUCUCUACUGUAAGCAAAUUCCAUUCGAGCCCCUACUAUAAACACAUUUCUUCCAAACUUCCAUCAUAGGUAGAUUUCAGCCGAGCUUUUUCAUAGUCAGAUCCCAGACGAGCUUCUACAAUGAGACAGGACCCACCGGCCA